rnacentral:rRNA from 1 species
AUUGAACGCUGGCGGCAUGCUUUACACAUGCAAGUCGAACGGAUUUUGGAGCUUGCUCCAAAGUUAGUGGCGAACGGGUGAGUAAUAUAUCGGAACGUACCCGGCAAUGGGGGAUAACGUAGCGAAAGUUACGCUAAUACCGCAUAUGCCCUGAGGGGGAAAGCAGGGGACCAGCAAUGGCCUUGCGUUGUCGGAGCGGCCGAUAUAGGAUUAGCUAGUUGGUGAGGUAAAGGCUCACCAAGGCGACGAUCCGUAGCGGGUCUGAGAGGAUGAUCCGCCACACUGGGACUGAGACGCGGCCCAGACUCCUACGGGAGGCAGCAGUGGGGAAUUUUGGACAAUGGGGGAAACCCUGAUCCAGCCAUGCCGCGUGAGUGAAGAAGGCCUUCGGGUUGUAAAGCUCUUUCAGGUGGAAAGAAAAGGUUGCGGAUAAUACCUGCAACUGAUGACGGUACCAUCAGAAGAAGCACCGGCUAACUACGUGCCAGCAGCCGCGGUAA